GCAGCUACACAUUUUUAAAGUGUUCAUAUGGCACGUUUAGUUUCCUCAAAAUAGCUCAGCGCGUACACGCUUUCGUUCUGGUGACGUCACAUCCCAGAGGGCGGGGCUCCGAGCAGGUGUAUUUCACAGGUGUAAAGAAAAGUAAGUGCCAGAGGAGAAGUACGAGCCCGUUUGGUCCCGUUGUUUCAAGUAGGCUAGACUCUAGGUGUGCAAUGGCUCCGAAGUGUAUCGGGGGCUGCGCCGCGUUAUUUGUCCUCGCGAUUACAUUUGAUAUAAUCGGGUUUGCUUUGAUUUUGGUCGGUAUUUUUGCCAAUCUGCGAUUGGACGGCAGAUUUUACGGAGACUUUUUAAUCUAUACAGGCUCUUUAAUAGUUUUUCUCAGUCUUUUCUGGUGGAUCAUGUGGUACACUGGGAAUAUUAGAGUUUCCUCUGAGGAUGUGGAGAAGAGGACUUUUGAUAACUUUGCGCACUGGGCGAGGAAGCUCUCGGAGCGUCUGUCCAAAAAGAGGAUGAACGGCGAGAAGUGCAUGGAUGACAUAAAGAAGUCGUUGAACGGCGAUGUGACACAUCACGCUCCGAGGCGGAUAACGUGGGAAAACUCCGGAACCGCGGGGCGCGUGAAUGAAGCGUACGACCGAAGCUCCGACGCGCCACCGAGUGAGAAGACCGUGGAGCUGGAGAUCCUGAAGAACCCCGAGAUGUUCCUGCAGAGCUGCGGGAAGGCGGAGAGAUUUCUCUGAACAGCGACUGGUACGUGCAUUUUACUUCUGUCUAAGUCUAAGACGAGGAAAAGCAGCAGUAAGACUGGAAUGUUUUAACCAAACCUUCAUAUUUGGACUGACUGAGAAAUGAAGUCAUUAAUCAGGGAUUUUCAAUGAGCACUUUACACAUGAUUAAUACAUUUGUACUUUUAUCUUGUGGAGUGAAAGUUUUAUUUCAGAUUUUAUGUUUGUAUUCAUCUUUAUUAAAUAAAGGUUUCAGAAAAU